UACGUAGGGUGCAAGCGUUGUCCGGAAUUAUUGGGCGUAAAGAGCUUGUAGGCGGUUUGUCGCGUCUGCCGUGAAAUUUCGAGGCUCAACCCCGGGCCUGCAGUCGAUACGGGCAGACUAGAGUUCGGUAGGGGAGACUGGAAUUCCUGGUGUAGCGGUGAAAUGCGCAGAUAUCAGGAGGAACACCGGUGGCGAAGGCGGGUCUCUGGGCCGAUACUGACGCUGAGGAGCGAAAGCGUGGGGAGCAAACAGG
rnacentral:rRNA from 1 species